CAUACUCGGGGAUAGCCUUUCGAAAGAAAGAUUAAUAUCCGAUAGCAUAUAUUUCCCGCAUGGGUUUUAUAUUAAAGAAAUUCGGUAUGAGAUGGGGAUGCGUUCCAUUAGUUUGUUGGGGGGGUAACGGCCCACCAAGACUACGAUGGAUAGGGGUUCUGAGAGGAAGGUCCCCCACAUUGGAACUGAGACACGGUCCAA
rnacentral:rRNA from 1 species